GACGAACGCUGGCGGCGUGCUUAACACAUGCAAGUCGAACGGAAAGGCCCUGCUUUUGUGGGGUGCUCGAGUGGCGAACGGGUGAGUAACACGUGAGUAACCUGCCCUUGACUUUGGGAUAACUUCAGGAAACUGGGGCUAAUACCGGAUAGGAGCUCCUGCUGCAUGGUGGGGGUUGGAAAGUUUCGGCGGUUGGGGAUGGACUCGCGGCUUAUCAGCUUGUUGGUGGGGUAGUGGCUUACCAAGGCUUUGACGGGUAGCCGGCCUGAGAGGGUGACCGGCCACAUUGGGACUGAGCUGCGGCCCCGACUGCUACGGGAGGCAGCAGUGGGGAAUAUUGCACAAUGGGCGGAAGCCUGAUGCAGCACCGCCGCGUGCUGGAUGACGGCCUUCGGGUUGUAAACCGCUUUCGCCUGUGACGAAGCGUGAGUGACGGUAAUGGGUAAAGAAGCACCGGCUAACUACGUG
rnacentral:rRNA from 1 species